rnacentral:rRNA from 1 species
AUGGGGGACGUGUCCACGAUUCAACGCCCAUCCGACAUUGUCCCCAAGGGUGAUCAGGUUGGGGGGCUGGUGUCGGCCGUAUGGACCAACGACACCCACAAAAUGUACAUCAGCUCCAUGGAGGCGUCCUUCAUGCAGCAGCUCUAUGGCCAGCAGCAGCACCACCACCACGCCACUCCCGACAAGAGCAUGAUCCAUGUGGGUAGUGGCCAUGGGCUCAAGGUGCUCCAAGAGGGAGCGUUUGAUAACCCCAGGUCUGAGAAGAACGUGCCUCGCCUGCGUGAUGUUGGUGCACGAGGCCUGCCCGAGGAUCCGUGGGCGAGGCGUUUCAAGCCACGCGAUUCCGCUAUGAAUCGUCGUGGUGAUGGGGUUGGUUCUUCCGAUGGUGAAUCGGGCACCAAUCAGUUCAAGUGA